UACGUAGGGUGCAAGCGUUGUCCGGAAUUAUUGGGCGUAAAGAGCUCGUAGGCGGUCUGUCACGUCGGCUGUGAAAUCCCGAGGCUCAACCUCGGGUCUGCAGUCGAUACGGGCAAACUAGAGUAUUGCAGGGGAGACUGGAAUUCCUGGUGUAGCGGUGAAAUGCGCAGAUAUCAGGAGGAACACCGGUGGCGAAGGCGGGUCGCUGGGACGAUAUUGACGCUGAGGAGCGAAAGCGUGGGGAGCAAACAGG
rnacentral:rRNA from 1 species